CUCACCGGGGCGGUGGUGCGAUGGUUCCAAACGGCUGGAGGAGCGUGCUUGUCGUGACGAACAGGAGGAGGCGGCUAUCGCACCGGCGGCGAGUUUCUAGCGCUGCAAACUGUAAGUGAGCCUCCAAAUCCACCUUUUAGUUUAUCCUCAGCUCCUCCCGUGAGCAGAUGCAGGGACUAUGGUGAGGCUGCUUAUGUAUGAGCACGGCGCGGUUGCCUACUGCGAGGAUGGUGAUCGUCCGGGACUAGAGCGACCCGUGGCCGGGGGACGUACAUACCAUGGCCGGCCGACGUACCGGCUCACCUCCACCUCGUUUUACAUGGAGAGAAGAUUUGGAGCAGCUACAGAUAUAUAGAUGGCACAUACAGAACUGCCAUGCUCGCACCAUUCCUCUGGGGUUCAUUUAGAUGGUUUUAUGCUGCUAUUAACUCCUUGGAGCUGCAGUCAGUUUCUUGCUUCUUUUCUCUUUUUGGCUUAGCACUCUUGUUGUUCCGCCUGUGUAAUAGCACGCCUGUGCGUUUGUUUUCUGAACUUUGCAUGUACCUCUCCUAGUUUACUCUUCUUCUUCUUCUUCUUCUUCUUCCUCCCCUCCUUACCUUUUUUUCUUAUCUUUUUGAUGAGAAACUCUCCUUACUAUUUUCUGAGAGAGAUCCCCCUCUCCUUACUAUGGAAAGUUUUUUAGCCUGAUCUCUCCCAAAUGAACGCUGAUGGUACAACCGUAAAGAUAUCACAAGUUCAUCUCCCCCCAGCAGCCGGCAGCAGAUCCUCCACUCGAAACACCAAAAGCUUCGAAAAGCAACAAAAACACAACCAAACACUUCCUACAACACCAGAACCUGGAAACCGAAGGAGAAAAAGGAAAAAGAGAGCUUCACAGCACCGAAAGAAACCCAAGAGCUAGCUGCAUCUCUGGUUACCUUCCGGGACACUUUCUACCCAUCGAUCCUCAAUACCGUCGGCGCCCUCCUAGAGAUCUCGGACACAACUUUCAGCGGGUGUCUUGCCGCUUCUUCUUUGCACUGUUUCAAUGGUGGAAGUAACUCGGUCGUAGUUGUAUUUUCUGCGCUCCUGUUUCAAGGCUUCUUUAUCUAUCUAUCUAUAUGUCUAUGUUGAAGUCAAUACCAAUCCUGCUAUUGCUGACGACUGGUUGCAAGUGGAGCAUUGGAUCUUGUGGAAGAGUUGAAUUGGAAUCAGUCAUUGCUCAGGGAUUUUUUUUAAGAGACGGAGGACAAUGAGUUGCGUUUUGAGGCCUGGAUGGCCCGCAGUGGUUCCUUCUCUCUGCGGCCCAACUAUCUUAUCUCAAGGCCGACAAACAGGGCAGCUUGGUGGGUCUGCUCAACUCUUAAACAGCGCCCGUUUCGAAGGCCGAAAAUGAGGGUGGAUUACAGGCCGAAUAAGAAGGAAGAAAAGAAUGAUGAUGACAGCCCCAUCCACUUAUCGCCACGCCGCAAAUCAGGCGAUGAUCUUACCUACUAGGGACAAUGAGUCUUAUAGAACCUCUUUCAUUUGUUGUGAAGAUAUUUGUGGUACAUAUUUGUUGAUUCAUUAGGACCCGUUUUCACUAUGUGUAAUAUUAAGAAGAUAUUUGUUGUACAUAUUUUUUUGAUUCA